CUCAUUAGCUCAGGUUUAAACACUUUGUACCAGAGUGAAUCGGAGUUGAACAACCUGCUACAAUUCGUUUUCACAGAGGGGGAGAAGAACAGUGGUUUGUCUCAAUUGCGUGAUGUUAUAUUAAACAACCUUGCUAACCAGUUACAGAAGAACCGCUUUGGUAGUGAGGAUGAUGACCACUACAGGCUGAACGAUGAACUGUUGCAGUGUAUCUUGAAGACUGUAGUGCGCGAGUCAUGUCUGCUCAUCACCAAAUGUCAAACCGUUUCC